rnacentral:rRNA from 1 species
GACGAACGCUGGCGGCGUGCUUAACACAUGCAAGUCGAACGGAAAGGCCCUGCUUUUGUGGGGUGCUCGAGUGGCGAACGGGUGAGUAACACGUGAGUAACCUGCCCUUGACUUUGGGAUAACUUCAGGAAACUGGGGCUAAUACCGGAUAGGAGCUCCUGCUGCAUGGUGGGGGUUGGAAAGUUUCGGCGGUUGGGGAUGGACUCGCGGCUUAUCAGCUUGUUGGUGGGGUAGUGGCUUACCAAGGCUUUGACGGGUAGCCGGCCUGAGAGGGGGAGCGGCCACAUUGGGACUGAGAUACGGCCCAGACUCCUACGGGAGGCAGCAGCGGGGAAUCUUGCACAAUGGGCGGAAGCCUGAUGCAGCAAUGCCGCGUGCGGGAGGACGGCCUUCGGGUUGUAAACCGAUUUCGCCUGUGACGAAGCGUUAGUGACGGUAACGGGUAAAGAAGCACCGGCUAACUACGUG